rnacentral:rRNA from 1 species
AACGAACGCUGGCGGCAUGCCUAACACAUGCAAGUCGAACGAGAUCUUCGGGUCUUGUGGCGCACGGGUGCGUACCGCGUGGGAACCUGCCCUUAGGUUCGCAAUAACUCCCCGAAAGGUGUGCUAAUACCGGUUAAUGUCUUCGGACCAAAGAUUUAUCGCCGUUGGAUGGGCCCGCGUUGGAUUAGCUAGUUGGUAGGGUAAAAGCCUACCAAGGCGACGAUGCAUAGCUGGUCGGAGAGGAUGAUCAGCCACACUGGGACUGAGACACGGCCCAGACUCGUACGGGAGGCAGCAGUGGGGAAUAUUGGACAAUGGGCGAAAGCCUGAUACAGCAAUGCGGCGUGAGUGAUGAAGGCCGUAGGGUUGUAAAGCUCUUUUACCCGGGAUGAUAAUGACAGUACCGGGAGAAUAAGCACCGGCUAACUCCGUG